rnacentral:rRNA from 1 species
UACGGGGGGUGCGAGCGUUGUCCGGAAUCACUGGGCGUAAAGGGCGCGUAGGCGGCCAGCGCAAGUCAGUUGUGAAAUCUCCGGGCUUAACUCGGAACGGUCAACUGAUACUGCGCGGCUAGAGUGCAGAAGGGGCAACUGGAAUUCUCGGUGUAGCGGUGAAAUGCGUAGAUAUCGAGAGGAACACCUGCGGCGAAGGCGGGUUGCUGGGCUGACACUGACGCUGAUGCGCGAAAGCCAGGGGAGCUAACGGG